UACGGAGGAUGCGAGCGUUAUCCGGAUUUAUUGGGUUUAAAGGGUGCGCAGGCGGCGUGUCAAGUCAGCGGUAAAAUGUCGGGGCUCAACCCUGGCCGGCCGUUGAAACUGGCGUGCUCGAGUUGGAGAGAAGUAUGCGGAAUUCGUGGUGUAGCGGUGAAAUGCAUAGAUAUCACGAAGAGCCCCGAUUGCGAAGGCAGCAUACCGGCUCCACACUGACGCUGAGGCACGAAAGCGUGGGUAUCGAACAGG
rnacentral:rRNA from 1 species